GAUGAACGCUGGCGGCGUGCCUAACACAUGCAAGUCGAGCGAAGCACUUUGCUUAGAUUCUUCGGAUGAAGAGGAUUGUGACUGAGCGGCGGACGGGUGAGUAACGCGUGGGUAACCUGCCUCAUACAGGGGGAUAACAGUUAGAAAUGACUGCUAAUACCGCAUAAGACCACAGCACCGCAUGGUGCAGGGGUAAAAACUCCGGUGGUAUGAGAUGGACCCGCGUCUGAUUAGCUAGUUGGUAAGGUAACGGCUUACCAAGGCGACGAUCAGUAGCCGACCUGAGAGGGUGACCGGCCACAUUGGGACUGAGACACGGCCCAAACUCCUACGGGAGGCAGCAGUGGGGAAUAUUGCACAAUGGGGGAAACCCUGAUGCAGCGACGCCGCGUGAGUGAAGAAGUAUUUCGGUAUGUAAAGCUCUAUCAGCAGGGAAGAAAAUGACGGUACCUGACUAAGAAGCACCGGCUAAAUACGUGCCAGCAGCCGCGGUAAUACGUAUGGUGCAAGCGUUAUCCGGAUUUACUGGGUGUAAAGGGAGCGUAGACGGAUGGGCAAGUCUGAUGUGAAAACCCGGGGCUCAACCCCGGGACUGCAUUGGAAACUGUUCAUCCAGAGUGCUGGAGAGGUAAGUGGAAUUCCUAGUGUAGCGGUGAAAUGCGUAGAUAUUAGGAGGAACACCAGUGGCGAAGGCGGCUUACUGGACAGUAACUGACGUUGAGGCUCGAAAGCGUGGGGAGCAAACAGG
rnacentral:rRNA from 1 species